rnacentral:rRNA from 1 species
GUGCAGCAGGCGAGAAAACUUUACAAUGUGCGAAAGCACGAUAAGGGAACUCUGAGUGCCUCCUAAGGAGGCUGUUCAGGUGUCUAAAAAGCACCUGGAGUAAGGGCUGGGUAAGACCGGUGCCAGCCGCCGCGGUAACACCGGCAGCCCAGGUGGUAGCCACUUUUAUUGGGUCUAAAGCGUCCGUAGCCGGUUGAGUAAGUUCCUUGGGAAAUUUGGCUGCUCAACAGUCAAGCUUCCAGGGAAUACUGCUCGACUUGGGACUGGGAGAGGUCAGAGGUACUCCAGGGGUAGGGGUGAAAUCCAUUAAUCCCUGGGGGACCACCGGUAGCGAAGGCGUCUGACCAGACCAGGUCCGACGGUGAGGGACGAAGGCUAGGGUCGCGAACCGGAUUAGAUACCCGGGU